GACUUCUCAACACGAAUACAAAGUUAGUUGGACUCUAAUGCAUAUACCGAACAAUGAGGAAAAAAUUGGGGACUUCUCAGCAUGAAUACGAAGUUAGUACACUCCAAUGCAUAUACCAAACAUCAAGGAAAAAAAUUGGGGACUUCUCAGCACGAAUACAAAGUUAGUUCGACUCUAAUGCAUAUACCGAACAUCAAGGAAAAAAUUGGGGACUUCUCGGCACGAAUACAAAGUUAGUUCGAUUCCAAUCAUAUAUCGAACAUCGAGAAAAAAAUUGGGGACCUUUUGGCACGAAUAUAAAGUUAGUUCGACUCCAAUACAUAUACCGAAUAUCGAGAAACAAAUUGGGGACUUCUCGGCACGAAUACAAAGUUAGUUCGACUCCAAUGCAUAUACCGAACAUCGAGAAAAAAAUUGGGG
rnacentral:lncRNA from 1 species